rnacentral:rRNA from 1 species
AGAGUUUGAUCCUGGCUCAGGAUGAACGCUAGCUACAGGCUUAACACAUGCAAGUCGAGGGGCAGCAUCAUCAAAGCUUGCUUUGAUGGAUGGCGACCGGCGCACGGGUGAGUAACACGUAUCCAACCUGCCGACAACACUGGGAUAGCCUUUCGAAAGAAAGAUUAAUACCGGAUGGCAUAGUUUUCCCGCAUGGGAUAAUUAUUAAAGAAUUUCGGUUGUCGAUGGGGAUGCGUUCCAUUAGGCAGUUGGCGGGGUAACGGCCCACCAAACCAACGAUGGAUAGGGGUUCUGAGAGGAAGGUCCCCCACAUUGGAACUGAGACACGGUCCAAACUCCUACGGGAGGCAGCAGUGAGGAAUAUUGGUCAAUGGGCGAGAGCCUGAACCAGCCAAGUAGCGUGAAGGAUGACUGCCCUAUGGGUUGUAAACUUCUUUUAUAAAGGAAUAAAGUCGGGUAUGGAUACCCGUUUGCAUGUACUUUAUGAAUAAGGAUCGGCUAACUCCGUGCCAGCAGCCGCGGUAAUACGGAGGAUCCGAGCGUUAUCCGGAUUUAUUGGGUUUAAAGGGAGCGUAGAUGGGUUGUUAAGUCAGUUGUGAAAGUUUGCGGCUCAACCGUAAAAUUGCAGUUGAUACUGGCGACCUUGAGUGCAACAGAGGUAGGCGGAAUUCGUGGUGUAGCGGUGAAAUGCUUAGAUAUCACGAAGAACUCCGAUUGCGAAGGCAGCUUACUGGAUUGUAACUGACGCUGAUGCUCGAAAGUGUGGGUAUCAAACAGGAUUAGAUACCCUGGUAGUCCACACAGUAAACGAUGAAUACUCGCUGUUGGCGAUAUACGGUCAGCGGCCAAGCGAAAGCAUUAAGUAUUCCACCUGGGGAGUACGCCGGCAACGGUGAAACUCAAAGGAAUUGACGGGGGCCCGCACAAGCGGAGGAACAUGUGGUUUAAUUCGAUGAUACGCGAGGAACCUUACCCGGGCUUGAAUUGCAACUGAAUGAUGUGGAGACAUGUCAGCCGCAAGGCAGUUGUGAAGGUGCUGCAUGGUUGUCGUCAGCUCGUGCCGUGAGGUGUCGGCUUAAGUGCCAUAACGAGCGCAACCCUUAUCGAUAGUUACUAGCAGGUCAUGCUGAGGACUCUAUUGAGACUGCCGUCGUAAGAUGUGAGGAAGGUGGGGAUGACGUCAAAUCAGCACGGCCCUUACGUCCGGGGCUACACACGUGUUACAAUGGGGGGUACAGAAGGCAGCUACACGGCGACGUGGUGCUAAUCCCGAAAGCCUCUCUCAGUUCGGAUUGGAGUCUGCAACCCGACUCCAUGAAGCUGGAUUCGCUAGUAAUCGCGCAUCAGCCAUGGCGCGGUGAAUACGUUCCCGGGCCUUGUACACACCGCCCGUCAAGCCAUGGAAGCCGGGAGUACCUGAAGCAUGCAACCGCAAGGAGCGUACGAAGGUAAUACCGGUAACUGGGGCUAAGUCGUAACAAGGUAGCCGUACCGGAAGGUGCGGCUG